GUCCAGACUCCUACGGGAGGCAGCAGUGAGGGAUAUUGGGCAAUGGGGGAAACCCUGACCCAGCGACGCCGCGUGAGGGAAGACGGUCUUCGGAUUGUAAACCUCUGUCUUUGGGGACGAAAAAGGACGGUACCCAAGGAGGAAGCUCCGGCUAACUACGUGCCAGCAGCCGCGGUAAUACGUAGGGGGCGAGCGUUAUCCGGAUUUACUGGGUGUAAAGGGAGCGUAGACGGUUGUGCAAGUCUGAGGUGAAAGCCCGUGGCUUAACCGCGGAACGGCUUUGGAAACUGUGGAACUGGAGUGCUGGAGAGGCAAGCGGAAUUCCUGGUGUAGCGGUGAAAUGCGUAGAUAUUAGGAGGAACACCAGUGGCGAAGGCGGCUUGCUGGACAGUAACUGCCGUUGAGGCUCGAAAGCGUGGGGAGCAAACAGGAUUAGAUACCCUAGUA
rnacentral:rRNA from 1 species